AGAGUUUGAUCCUGGCUCAGGAUGAACGCUAGCGGCGGGCCUAAUACAUGCAAGUCGAACGCCCAGCAAUGGGAGUGGCGCACGGGUGCGUAACGCGUAUGCAACCUACCUUAAACUGGGGGAUAGCCUUCCGAAAGGAAGAUUAAUACCCCAUAGUCUUAUACAAGGGCAUCUGAGUAUAAGUAAAGAUUUAUCGGUUUAAGAUGGGCAUGCGUGACAUUAGCUAGUUGGUGAGGUAAUGGCUCACCAAGGCUACGAUGUCUAGGGGUUCUGAGAGGAUGAUCCCCCACACUGGUACUGAGAUACGGACCAGACUCCUACGGGAGGCAGCAGUAGGGAAUAUUGGGCAAUGGGCGAGAGUCUGACCCAGCCAUGCCGCGUGCAGGAAGAAGGCCUUCUGGGUUGUAAACUGCUUUUAUCAGGGAAGAAAACGCUCCUGCGGGAGUAACUGACGGUACCUGGUGAAUAAGCACCGGCUAACUCCGUGCCAGCAGCCGCGGUAAUACGGAGGGUGCAAGCGUUGUCCGGAUUUAUUGGGUUUAAAGGGUGCGUAGGCGGCUUAUUAAGUCAGUGGUGAAAGCCAACAGCUCAACUGUUGAACUGCCAUUGAUACUGAUAAGCUUGAGUACAGACGAGGUAGGCGGAAUUGAAGAUGUAGCGGUGAAAUGCAUAGAUAUGACAUAGAACACCAAUUGCGUAGGCAGCUUACUACACGAUCAUUGACGCUGAGGCACGAAAGCGUGGGGAGCAAACAGGAUUAGAUACCCUGGUAGUCCACGCCCUAAACGAUGGAUACUCGACAUCAGCGAUACACUGUUGGUGUCUGAGCGAAAGCAUUAAGUAUCCCACCUGGGAAGUACGAUCGCAAGAUUGAAACUCAAAGGAAUUGGCGGGGGUCCGCACAAGCGGGUGGAGCAUGUGGGUUUAAUUCGAUGAUACGCGAGGGAACCUUACCUGGGGCUAGAAUGCUGGGAAGACCGAGGGUGAAAGCUCUCUUUGUAGCAUUACACUUCCAAGUAAGGUGCUGCAUGCCUGUCGGUCAGCUCGUGCGUUGAAGAGAUGAGUAAAGGUCCGCACGAGGCGCAAACUCCCAAUCAACUGGUUUGCA
rnacentral:rRNA from 1 species